GACGGAGGGUGCUAGCGUUGUUCGGAAUUACUGGGCGUAAAGGGCGCGUAGGCGGCCUGGUCAGUCGGAUGUGAAGCCCGGGGCUCAACCCCGGAACGGCAUCCGAGACGGCCAGGCUGGAGACCGGGAGAGGAGAGUGGAAUAGCCAGUGUAGAGGUGAAAUUCGUAGAUAUUGGCUGGAACACCGGUGGCGAAAGCGGCUCUCUGGCCCGGUUCUGACGCUGAGGCGCGAAAGCGUGGGGAGCAAACAGG
rnacentral:rRNA from 1 species